UAGGGAAUCUUCCACAAUGGACGAAAGUCUGAUGGAGCAACGCCGCGUGAGUGAAGAAGGGUUUCGGCUCGUAAAACUCUGUUGUUAAAGAAGAACAUAUCUGAGAGUAACUGUUCAGGUAUUGACGGUAUUUAACCAGAAAGCCACGGCUAACUACGUGCUA
rnacentral:rRNA from 1 species